rnacentral:rRNA from 1 species
CCUACGGGUGGCUGCAGUGGGGAAUAUUGGACAAUGGGGGCAACCCUGAUCCAGCCAUGCCGCGUGUGUGAAGAAGGCCCUCGGGUUGUAAAGCACUUUCAGUGAGGAAGAACGCCUGGUGGUUAAUACCCAUCAGGAAAGACAUCACUCACAGAAGAAGCACCGGCUAACCCCGUGCCAGCAGCCGCGGUAAUACGGAGGGUGCGAGCGUUAAUCGGAAUUACUGGGCGUAAAGCGCGCGUAGGUGGCUUGAUAAGCCGGUUGUGAAAGCCCCGGGCUCAACCUGGGAACGGCAUCCGGAACUGUCAAGCUAGAGUGCAGGAGAGGAAGGUAGAAUUCCCGGUGUAGCGGUGAAAUGCGUAGAGAUCGGGAGGAAUACCAGUGGCGAAGGCGGCCUUCUGGACUGACACUGACACUGAGGUGCGAAAGCGUGGGUAGCAAACAGGAUUAGAUACCCCAGUAGUC